rnacentral:rRNA from 1 species
UCGGGAAUAUUGCGCAAUGGAGGAAACUCUGACGCAGUGACGCCGCGUAUAGGAAGAAGGUUUUCGGAUUGUAAACUAUUGUCGUUAGGGAAGAGAAAGGACAGUACAUAAGGAGGAAGCUCCGGCUAACUACGUGCCAGCAGCCGCGGUAAUACGUAGGGAGCGAGCGUUAUCCGGAAUUAUUGGGUGUAAAGGGUGCGUAGACGGGAGAACAAGUUAGUUGUGAAAUACCUCGGCUCAACUGAGGAACUGCAACUAAAACUGUACUUCUUGAGUGCAGGAGAGGUAAGUGGAAUUCCUAGUGUAGCGGUGAAAUGCGUAGAUAUUAGGAGGAACACCAGUGGCGAAGGCGACUUACUGGACUGUAACUGACGUUGAGGCACGAAAGUGUGGGGAGCAACAGGAUUAGAUACC